rnacentral:lncRNA from 1 species
UGUAUUGUUUCCCAUGAGUUUUAAGAUUUGUUCAUUUUAUUCCUGCUAUGAUUUAUUUUAUUUUUUAUAUUUUUUUGUUAUGCAAGUCCAAUAAUUUGCUACAUGUGUAUAUUUUUUGCUACACGGGUAUGUAUAAUUUUUCCUUGUGUAUACUUUUUCCACCUGAAUAAUAUGUUCCUGUUGAAGCAGCCGAAUUUUCCUUAUAGAGCAAUUCUCUUUUUUAGUGGAAUAAUUUAUCAUCAAUCUAGAAUGGUUUUUUUACUAUUCAUUGUCAAACGUUCUAUGUUUAACUUAAGGGUCACCAAUUUUUGUUCUUAACCACUCCUUCCGUCC